rnacentral:rRNA from 1 species
AUUGAACGCUGGCGGCAUGCCUAACACAUGCAAGUCGAACGGCAGCACGGCAGUAGCAAUACUGUGGGUGGCGAGUGGCGGACGGGUGAGGAAUACGUCGGAAUCUGCCCAGUCGUGGGGGAUAACUAGCCGAAAGGUUAGCUAAUACCGCAUACGACCGAGAGGUGAAAGCGGGGGACCGCAAGGCCUCGCGCGAUUGGAUGAGCCGACGUCGGAUUAGCUAGUUGGAGGGGUAAAGGCCCACCAAGGCGACGAUCCGUAGCUGGUCUGAGAGGAUGAUCAGCCGCACUGGCACUGCGACACGGGCCAGACUCCUACGGGAGGCAGCAGUAAGGAAUAUUGCGCAAUGGGCGAAAGCCUGACGCAGCGACGCCGCGUGGGGGAUGAAGGUCUUCGGAUUGUAAACCCCUUUCGGGAGGGAAGAUGGAGCGAGCAAUCGUUCGGACGGUACCUCCAGAAGCAGCCACGGCCAACUUCGUGCCAGC